rnacentral:rRNA from 1 species
UACAGGGGGUGCAAACGUUGCUCGGAAUCAUUGGGCGUAAAGCGCACGUAGGCGGCCAACUAAGUCGGACGUGAAAUCCCUCGGCUUAACCGGGGAACUGCGUCCGAUACUGGAUGGCUUGAGGUUGGGAGAGGGAUGCGGAAUUCCAGGUGUAGCGGUGAAAUGCGUAGAUAUCUGGAGGAACACCGGUGGCGAAGGCGGCAUCCUGGACCAAUUCUGACGCUGAGUGAGCGAAAGCCAGGGGAGCAAACGGG